GAUGAACGCUGGCGGCGUGCCUAAUACAUGCAAGUCGAGCGAACGGACGAGAAGCUUGCUUCUCUGAUGUUAGCGGCGGACGGGUGAGUAACACGUGGAUAACCUACCUAUAAGACUGGGAUAACUUCGGGAAACCGGAGCUAAUACCGGAUAAUAUUUUGAACCGCAUGGUUCAAAAGUGAAAGACGGUCUUGCUGUCACUUAUAGAUGGAUCCGCGCUGCAUUAGCUAGUUGGUAAGGUAACGGCUUACCAAGGCAACGAUGCAUAGCCGACCUGAGAGGGUGAUCGGCCACACUGGAACUGAGACACGGUCCAGACUCCUACGGGAGGCAGCAGUAGGGAAUCUUCCGCAAUGGGCGAGAGCCUGACGAAGCAACGCCGCGUGAGUGAUGAAGAUCUUCGGAUCGUAAAACUCUGUUAUUAGGGAAGAACAUAUGUGUAAGUAACUGUGCACAUCUUGACGGUACCUAAUCAGAAAGCCACGGCUAACUACGUG
rnacentral:rRNA from 1 species